CGGGGUGAGUAAUGUAUGGGGAUCUGCCUGAUGGCGGGGGGUAACUACUGGAAACGGUAGCUAAUACCGCAUAAUGUCUACGGACCAAAGAGGGGGACCUUAGGGCCUCUUGCCAUCGGAUGUGCCCAGAUGGGAUUAGCUAGUAGGUGGGGUAAUGGCUCACCUAGGCGACGAUCCCUAGCUGGUCUGAGAGGAUGACCAGCCACACUGGAACUGAGACACGGUCCAG
rnacentral:rRNA from 1 species